GUGAUUUGUAAGGGUUUCAAAAUUACACUGGCUAAUAUGAAACAGAGCCAGGAGAAAACCGUAAUUUCUGGAAUCUAUUCUGAUGCUCCUUCUACAACAUAAAAAGAUAUUCCAUAUACAAAGUCCAAGCAUUUUGAAGUCCCAGAUCACACAUACAGGUCAGAAAUGAACUGAAAAUCAUAGAUUUGCCCCAUUGGCAAUCAUGAGAACUCUACUUGAAAGCAUUGUCUGAAAGUAGUCUUUUCAAUUUUUACAAAAAUGCGUCGAGAUUCAACUGUGAAGUACUGGGCACCUAGUGUGCACCAAGAAUCUCCUGUGUCAGUUGCUCUCAUAGCCCAUGACGCCCUCCAACCCACUGAGGAAGCAGUAAUAGUAUAUUCCUCUUUUACAGAUAGGAAGAGAGGAGUUCACAGAAGACAACUGACCAAUUCUAGGUCAGAGAACUGGCAAACCACAACCAAACCCUUAGCCAGGUCUCCUGACUUCCAGUUCAGGAGUCUCUGGUUCAAGCUAGGAUACAUCAGGAUCAUUGUCUACCAAUUAGAAGGAAAGAGUGAAGACAGCCUAGAAAGUAAGAGUUGAUAAUUAGAAAAUGGCUUAAAAAGGGGUUACAGGGAUUCAUAUAAUCUGAUCAAGAUACUAUACAGCAAAUAGUCCUUAACCUCAUCCCUCAUCAUGGAAUAGAGUUCUAGAAUCCAGACAAGGGCAGAAGCUAUUCCAACCUGAGUCUUAACCACCUUGACCUUAAUAGAAUGCUUUCAUGAUUGCUAGAAGUGUCUUACCCUUUAAUAAUUAAUUGCACAGACCUCAUAAACUGGAUAAGCCUGACUUCACAUGAGUGAGCUACUUUACUGCCCUUCAUAUAAUUUUACUGAUUUCUACAAUCUCAUUUCAUAAUAGUAAUGCUCUCCUUAAGAAAGCAGAGUGAGCUUGGAGGUCUUUCUCACAUUAAUAUAUGCAUAUGUAGGGGGGCAAAAUGCAAAAUCUUCUCAUGUUAGAUAUGCUUUCUCAAAAAAGGAAGCAACAUUGUUUUUACAUUGAACUAAGCCUCUAUUUAAAAUCUAAAAAGUAAAAUUGAAGGAAAACUGCAUAGGAGGCCUAAUGUGAUAGAAAUGAGCUGGGCCUGCCUCUGAUAGUCUUUCUCUACAAUGGGUAAUUUGUUUCUUGGAAGAUGCUUUCCCUCAAACCAUCAGAUAGGAAUUGUAACUUCAAACAAAAGUAAAAAAGAACCCCAUUUUGGACAAAGUAGAGGAGAGAUCAAUAGCCCAGCUUCCGGUUUCAUAAAGCAAAGGGAUUUACUGUCAAAGACUUUGAGGACACGGCUGUGUGUUUUAGUCAGGUUUUUCACUGCUGUGACUGAAAGACCUGACCAGAUCAAUUAUAGGGGAGAAAGAGUUCAUGGUUUCAGAGGUCUCAGUCCAUAGACACCGUGCUCCAUUUCUUAGGGCUUUAGAUGAGGCAGAACAUCGUGGAAGAAGAGUGUGAUGGAGGGAAGCAGCUCACAUGGUGAUCAGGAAGCAGAGAGAGGACACCACGUGCCACAUACAAAUAUAUACCCCAAAGCCACAACCCCAAGGAGUAGUGUCUAGUCUUCCCUUCUGUAUCCACUUGAGAACCAAACUAGUUUUUAUAGCACUACAGUAGGUCACUACCACUCUUCCAACUGUUACUCCUCUCAUGGGGAUGGAGGAUAAUCAGAACACUUUAUUUUAUGUUUGAGUCCCGACUAUAUCUACCCUUCAUGUUGAAGAGCUAACUCAUU
rnacentral:lncRNA from 1 species